rnacentral:sRNA from 1 species
GCAGAGCGAGGAGUCGGGAUUUGGUCGCGAGCGGCGACGUGCAUUUGUGCAGAAUGUCAUCAGAUGAGGAGAAAUACUCACUUCCAGUUGUGCAAAAUGACUCCAGUCGAGGCAGUUCUGUCUCUUCGAAUCUUCAGAAAAUAUUGAUGAACUCUUCAUACACUCUGUACAAAGGCUUCAACCAACACAGUAAGAGGAAGAAUAUGAAGAACUGCUUCGUUAUGCUAUAGUGACUCCAAAUAUUGAACCCGGUGCUUCACAGUCAUCUCAUCCUAAGGGAGAAUUGGUGCCAGAUGUCAGAAUUUCUACAAUUCAUGAUAUUCUUCAUAGUCAAGGUUAUAUAUAUUUUUCAAGAUAUCUCUUAAUUUAAAAUAUUACUGAGUUUAUUAAUGAUACCGACAGGAUUGUGAAAAUGCCUGUCCAGAUCAGUGAUUCUUCUCAACCAUUUAUGUGUAUUAGUAUCAUCUAGGGGAGCUUUUUACAGUUUAAUAUAUUAUUCCUGACUCGUGUGACAGCUUGAUUUUUCUUUGAACUUCAUUUGACUCUUACUUUUAUGAAGAAUAAUAAAGUUGAAGCAAUGCUAUGG